rnacentral:sRNA from 1 species
UCUCAGCUAAUGCUGGUAAGUGUGAACC